rnacentral:lncRNA from 1 species
UGCAAGUCUAUUAUCUUAUAAGUACUAUACCAUAGAUGUCCAAUACCUAAUUUAUAAGGAAAUCAAGAAUAAAAUUAUUUAAAAGGAAACCAAGAAAAAUUUAUAAGCUACUUCUUUUCCUCCAACUUUGCCAAAUUCACUCUUGUUCUUUUAUCCAUUGUAUGUACUAGCCACUUCUCUUCUUUAUUUCUUCAAUUUCUUCUAUUAAUAUUUCUAAUAUCCACUCAAUCUUCACUUUGCUUCUUUUUUUCUUGUCCACAACCAUACUCUCCAUUAAUUUUAAUAUCAAUAUCACAACUACCACAC